UUUUAUAUUCGGAGGUUUUUUCAGUUCAAAUUCAAGUUCUAGAACUUUGGUUUAUUAUUAGACUGCUCUCUUACUUGGAUGGAAGGGAAGAGAGAAAAACAGGUCUGUCUGCAACCAUUGUGUUCCACUCCAAUUCGGGGAUAGCCUCAGAAACGGUGUUUUAAAAUUAAAAUCUUACGAGACCCUGGCUGCUGCUGAGAUGACAGGAGAAUCUCCCUAGUGACUUUGGCAAAAGCCAGAAAAACAACCUGGGAAGACCUGAGGAGCAGCUUCUCGAACACAUCCUACUGGGCUGCUGUUAUCUUCAACAACUUUAUGUAGUUUUUAUGUUUUGGAAUUGUGAAAACAAUCAGUGAAUUGAUAUUUAUUAAAAACAACUAUUUGGGGUGGUGGGAAUGAACUGUUUUUUCACAGUUAAUUCAAUUAAAAUUU
rnacentral:lncRNA from 1 species